UACGAAGGGGGCUAGCGUUGCUCGGAAUUACUGGGCGUAAAGCGCACGUAGGCGGACUCUUAAGUCGGUGGUGAAAUCCUGGAGCUCAACUCCAGAACUGCAUUCGAUACUGGGAGUCUUGAGUCCGGGAGAGGUGAGUGGAACUGCGAGUGUAGAGGUGAAAUUCGUAGAUAUUCGCAAGAAUACCAGUGGCGAAGGCGGCUCACUGGCCCGGUACUGACGCUGAGGUGCGAAAGCGUGGGGAGCAAACAGG
rnacentral:rRNA from 1 species